rnacentral:rRNA from 2 species
CUGAGGCGUGAUGACGAGGCACUACGGUGCUGAAGCAACAAAUGCCCUGCUUCCAGGAAAAGCCUCUAAGCAUCAGGUAACAUCAAAUCGUACCCCAAACCGACACAGGUGGUCAGGUAGAGAAUACCAAGGCGCUUGAGAGAACUCGGGUGAAGGAACUAGGCAAAAUGGUGCCGUAACUUCGGGAGAAGGCACGCUGACACGUAGGUGAAGUGAUUUACUCAUGGAGCUGAAGUCAGUCGAAGAUACCAGCUGGCUGCAACUGUUUAUUAAAAACACAGCACUGUGCAAACACGAAAGUGGACGUAUACGGUGUGACGCCUGCCCGGUGCCGGAAGGUUAAUUGAUGGGGUCAGCGCAAGCGAAGCUCCUGAUCGAAGCCCCGGUAAACGGCGGCCGUAACUAUAACGGUCCUAAGGUAGCGAAAUUCCUUGUCGGGUAAGUUCCGACCUGCACGAAUGGCGUAAUGAUGGCCAGGCUGUCUCCACCCGAGACUCAGUGAAAUUGAACUCGCUGUGAAGAUGCAGUGUACCCGCGGCAAGACGGAAAGACCCCGUGAACCUUUACUAUAGCUUGACACUGAACAUUGAGCCUUGAUGUGUAGGAUAGGUGGGAGGCUUUGAAGUGUGGACGCCAGUCUGCAUGGAGCCGACCUUGAAAUACCACCCUUUAAUGUUUGAUGUUCUAACGUGGACCCGUGAUCCGGGUUGCGGACAGUGUCUGGUGGGUAGUUUGACUGGGGCGGUCUCCUCCUAAAGAGUAACGGAGGAGCACGAAGGUUGGCUAAUCCUGGUCGGACAUCAGGAGGUUAGUGCAAUGGCAUAAGCCAGCUUGACUGCGAGCGUGACGGCGCGAGCAGGUGCGAAAGCAGGUCAUAGUGAUCCGGUGGUUCUGAAUGGAAGGGCCAUCGCUCAACGGAUAAAAGGUACUCCGGGGAUAACAGGCUGAUACCGCCCAAGAGUUCAUAUCGACGGCGGUGUUUGGCACCUCGAUGUCGGCUCAUCACAUCCUGGGGCUGAAGUAGGUCCCAAGGGUAUGGCUGUUCGCCAUUUAAAGUGGUACGCGAGCUGGGUUUAGAACGUCGUGAGACAGUUCGGUCCCUAUCUGCCGUGGGCGCUGGAGAACUGAGGGGGGCUGCUCCUAGUACGAGAGGACCGGAGUGGACGCAUCACUGGUGUUCGGGUUGUCAUGCCAAUGGCACUGCCCGGUAGCUAAAUGCGGAAGAGAUAAGUGCUGAAAGCAUCUAAGCACGAAACUUGCCCCGAGAUGAGUUCUCCCUGAGACUUUAAGUCUCCUGAAGGAACGUUGAAGACGACGACGUUGAUAGGCCGGGUGUGUAAGCGCAGCGAUGCGUUGAGCUAACCGGUACUAAUGAACCGUGAGGCUUAACCUUACAACGCCGAAG